AAUUAGGGUGAAGAGGAGGCCAGUGGACACGCGGUGUGAUUAAAUUUAGAUCUGGAGGGAGAUCUUGACCCCGCGUGCCCCUCAUCUAAGUGACAUUUAGCCAGGAUAACCACACUGCAGCUGAGGCUUAUUAACCUUUUGUGGGCCUGAACACCACUGACUGGCUUAAUUGGCAGAUGGAUUAUUAAAUAGAGCAACUUCAAGAUGAUUGAACAUCUCAUAUCUACAACGCACAGGUUAGUCGGUAAAAUCUUAUUAUCACUUAGGCUUCGGGGUACAGUGGCCUACAUAUAUACCAGUAUGGAUCAUUUUUGGCAUUAUAAUAUUAACAAUGCAGGCCGAGGUGCCAUGAGAGCGUAAAAGAGAGGAGUUUUGAUGAUAAUGGUGCUGAAUGUGUGAUCCGUCAGAGGGUCACUAGCAGAAUCUCUCUAGUUUCUCCGCAUUCGCAGUCCCCGGGGAGGUAAAAUCCGCCGUUAAUCAUCAAAAUGACCGUUACACGUUGCCAAGCGCUAAACGGUGUCGGAUCCGCCUGGAACGACUUAAUCCAUCACAACCGAUUUGGAAACUUUCUAAAAUCAGGUUGCUUCUGUGCGGAAAUCUCUGAGAGAUUUAAGAGAGAACAGAGACGGCGCUCUGGGCCUCGUACAGUGGCGGGCAUGUUCAGAAACAAGCGUUCCCCUGACUCGUACAAAAGAAAACGCCGUACGCUCGUUUUUCUGCAUAGCCAAACAGAGCUGCCAGACGUGUGUUUAAGCAUGAUCCAUUCACUGGGCUUUGCGCCGCUCUGCCAUGUCAAAUCAAUGCUUUCAAGGGAAGCACGAGUCAGCCAUGUUGGAUUCGGUUCUGCUUUGGGAAAUAAGUGGAUCAUAUUGGACGCAUUACCAUACUUGUGUGACUGAGGCGCUCGCUCUCUCUCAUAUUCAAAAAGGAGAUCAUUGCACAGCAUGUGAUAAAUGUCACCUCAGAGCAAUGACCCGCAUUAUGUAUUACCCCUGCUGCAGGCGUCCUCCUGCACCUCUGUGAUCAGCUGUGGCUACUUACCCCCCAUGUAGGCUGUCUCCGAUGCUCUAUAUGGAAAAUCAAACCCCUGACACUGAAAAAAAAAAAAAGAAAGAGCAGGCGUUAAAAAUACAAGAGAGGACUGGUGUGCAUUUCAUCUUCUGUGUCUUGUUUCAAAAUACCAAACGGAAAGAUGCGUCGCAUCAUAUUUGAUGAUACCAGAUAUUGCAAGCCAGUUUGAAUGCGCAGAAGUAUGACUGUCAUUUGUGAAGAAGAAAAGGUGUUUCAAGCUUUUGUCUUUGAGCUCUACUGAAAAAGGGUUCUGGAUAUUUGGUUAUUUGUUUAGAGGUAUUUGUGUGUUAAAAGGGAUAUAAAUGUUAGUUUUUUGUUAAGACAACCCAUCUUGCAUCUGAAAAUAAAAAAAAAAUAUACGUGUGUGUUAUAUAUAUAUAUAUAUAUAUAUAUAUAUAUAUAUAUAUAUAUAUAUAUAUAUAUA
ensembl:lncRNA